UCUCUCUCUCUCUCUACACAUCUUUUGUCUUUGAUAUUUUUCCUCGAUGGAAAGGUGAGUGUCUCUAUCUCAUCAAAUAGACAAUUACUGCAUUGAGGUUGUUCUUCGUUGCCUGGCAACAGACGGUGAUGGACUUGGUCCACAUGAACUUAAUGAUGGUGUUAUUCUUGCUACAGUGAUUGCUGCUGGCUUUAAAGGUAAGGAAUGGUUGUAACUGCAUUAUCCUUUCAAAAUUCAUUAUUUUGGAACUUAAUUCUGAUAACUGGAAUUGGUUGAAGACUCCUAUUUUACUUGAUGGCUCAAUUUUUUUGGUGAUCAACUUUUACUUUUGAUUCCACAUGAUGUGCAAUAGAACUAAUCAAAUUUGAGGGAACAUCCAAAUACACCUUGAAAAAAUAAAAGCUUGUUAUAUGUAUAUAUGAACAUGCAUACAGAGUUGCAAGCUUGUUGCUUUAAUUAAAUACUUUUUUGUUUCCAAAAAAAUCAUGCCAUGUUUAUGUGUUGAAUAGAAUUUACAAGUUACUAAAAUACAAAGGAUGACGGGAGAUAUAUUGGAACAUGCUAAUUUGAAAGUCUACGAAAGUUUCUUGGCCCUUUCUGCACGUUGCUUGAAAAAAGGAUAUUCGCAGUUGGAUUGUUGGCUCUUCUGUCAAAAAUUGGCCAAUGCCUACAGGUCCUUGUCUAAAUUUGCUGAAAUACAAUUUGGUUCUAUAUGUCAGAUUGGGUAAAGUCUAAUACAAGGCAUCCAACAGGAAUUACUAGGAGCUGUUUGACAUCAUAUGUCCUGUCCUACAUGGUAUUUAGUAAAUGGAGAUGUAAACACAAUGCAAAACCUGGACGUGAGCAGCUAGUUAUAGGUUGUGUAAUGUUUAAAACAACAUUGACUUUCUUCUGGGUUAUAUAAUGUAUGAAUGCAGGAGAGCUUGUUCGAUUUCAAGCUGGUGUAACGAUGGAGAUCUCACGUUUAGAUGCCUGGUAUUCAAGCAAAGAUUGUUCCCUGGAAGGCCCAGCUACAUACAUCAUGUGGGGCCUUUGUCGAAGGUGUUGCAUUCCAGAAGUUAUUCUUAGAUGUAUGCAGGUUUUUGUUUUGCUCGUGGAGCCGGCAAUCCACCUGAAAGCCAUGAUGAGCUGAUUGAACUAGUUGCAUAGCCUGAAACUAGGUUUCUCCAUUUAUUUAGUUAGCAGCAAUUGCAGGAAUUUUUAUUAUUAGAGAGAGAAUACUAGAUAUGCAAAUUGGAGCUUGGAGAGGAACUUCCUUGUUGAUUUGUGUAAAUUAUGAGGUACUGAUUUAGGGUUUAAUUAUGGGUGCUGAUUUAGUGGUAGUUGUAUAAUGUUCUGGUUAUAUACAGUGGUAUUUUUGUGGAAUGGAUGAAGGGUUCAAGUUUUAUUUAUUUUUAUUUUUUUAAUUUUUUUUUUUUAAGUGGCGUGUUUUGGAUAGAAAGGAAAUACAAGGGAAAUAUCAUUUUAAUGAAAAGCUGCGAAUUUUUUUUAAAGUGGCGUAUUUAUUUUUUAAUCUUGAUCUUGUAUUUGUUCUUUUCUACACAAGGGAAAUACCGUUUUAAUGAAAGUUGGAAAAAAAAUAAUAUUAAUUUAGUAGAAACUUUACAAUUACAAAAGAAAAUUUAAUUAACUUGAACCACUAAAUUGAAAAUAUUUUGUGUACUGAUGUCAAAAUGAUAUUUCCCCUUUGAACUGCUAACUUUUAUUUUUCAAUUUAAAAAAAAAAAAAAUUUGAUUCAUUGAAAACUAAUUAUUUUAAGUAUAAUUAUUUAGUAGAAUUCUCACUUUUAUUCCAUUAAAAGUUCUCAUGUCCAUAUUUGGUAGGGGAUGGUAAGUUAAUUAAUCCUCUUUGGAGGAUCAAUGGAUUCCUACUAUUCGCAAUUCUUUAACAUGCUUGAAUUUAUCUCAUUUCAUUGAUACUCAAAAUCAUGCUUGGAGGAUCAAUCUUCUACGAGUAUUUUUUCCACUAGAGUGCAUAGAUUCUAUUAGGGGUAUUCAUUUACCGAUGGUGCCUUCGCGAGAUCAAAUUAUUUAGGGCUUUAUUUAUAUGCAGGGAUACACGUCACCAUUAGUGAUUGUAGAAUCUUAGACUACCUAAGUGGACACUCUUCUUACAGAAGUGUCUUCACUGCAUCUUUUCAAUCUGAUGGGUGUUAUAUGGGAGAGGAGUUUCCAUUGAGCUUAGUUGUCCAUGAUGUGAUAAAGGGAUCGAGACUGUGGAAUGCCAGUAUUCUCAACGGGUUUGAUUACUAGGUGUGGACUUUUGUCAUAGAUGGUUCGUGGCAGGCAGCUGAUCAAAGUGCGGGCAUGGCAUGUGUUUGCUUCAAUAUAGAUCAAUCACGGGUUCAAGAUUAUGCUUCUAGGAUACAGCUUCCUUCUCCAUUGCUGGCCGAAGUUAAAGCGUGCUAGUAAGCUAUUCAUUGGGCUAAAGGCCAGCAUCUGUUAUGCAUCUCCAUUUUCACGGAUAGUCAAGUUUUGGUAUCUACUUUGCAACGACAACGCACCCGUGAUUGGAGCAUUGCGGCUAUUAUUAAUGAUAUGAAGCUAAUUAAUAAGGAUUUUGAUUUUCUUUGUAUUUCUAAAGUUAAUAUGGACUCAUGUACUAUCUAGACAAGUUAAUGGCAACUCAAGCUAA